GAUGAACGCUGGCGGCGUGCCUAAUACAUGCAAGUCGAGCGAACAGACGAGGAGCUUGCUCCUCUGACGUUAGCGGCGGACGGGUGAGUAACACGUGGAUAACCUACCUAUAAGACUGGGAUAACUUCGGGAAACCGGAGCUAAUACCGGAUAAUAUAUUGAACCGCAUGGUUCAAUAGUGAAAGACGGUUUUGCUGUCACUUAUAGAUGGAUCCGCGCCGCAUUAGCUAGUUGGUAAGGUAACGGCUUACCAAGGCAACGAUGCGUAGCCGACCUGAGAGGGUGAUCGGCCACACUGGAACUGAGACACGGUCCAGACUCCUACGGGAGGCAGCAGUAGGGAAUCUUCCGCAAUGGGCGAAAGCUUGACGGAACAACGCCGCGUGAGUGAUGAGGGUCUUCGGAUCGUAAAACUCUGUUAUUAGGGAAGAACAAAUGUGUAAGUAACUAUGCACGUCUUGACGGUACCUAAUCAGAAAGCCACGGCUAACUACGUG
rnacentral:rRNA from 1 species